rnacentral:rRNA from 1 species
GCGGGUGAGUAACACGUGGAUAACCUACCUAUAAGACUGGGAUAACUUCGGGAAACCGGAGCUAAUACCGGAUAAUAUUUUGAACCGCAUGGUUCAAAAGUGAAAGACGGUCUUGCUGUCACUUAUAGAUGGAUCCGCGCUGCAUUAGCUAGUUGGUAAGGUAACGGCUUACCAAGGCAACGAUGCAUAGCCGACCUGAGAGGGUGAUCGGCCACACUGGAACUGAGACACGGUCCAG